rnacentral:rRNA from 1 species
UACGGAGGGUGCGAGCGUUAUCCGGAAUGAUUGGGCGUAAAGCGUCCGCAGGUGGCAAUGUAAGUCUGCUGUCAAAGCGUCUGGCUCAACCAGAUAAAGGCAGUGGAAACUACAUAGCUAGAGUAAGGUAGGGGUAGAGGGAAUUCCUGGUGUAGCGGUGAAAUGCGUAGAUAUCAGGAAGAACACCGGUGGCGAAAGCGCUCUGCUAGGCCGCAACUGACACUGAGGGACGAAAGCUAGGGGAGCGAAUGGG